rnacentral:lncRNA from 1 species
GGCAGUUCCAGGACACCUGACAUGUUCCCACUGCAGAAACCACACGGGUUUCUCCAGCACCACUGAGACUUGCUCAGCCUGUGUAGAGUAGCCUGGACAUACUGGGGCUUUAUUUUCCUGAGGACAACCCUCAACCAAUGAGUGCCAGGAAUCAGCUGGAAUGCAGUGGCACUGUCAGGGCUCACUGCAGCCUUGAACUCCCGGGCUCAAGUGAUCCUCUCACCUCAGCCUCCUGAGUAGCUGGGACUACAAGCAUGCACCACCACACACAGCUAAUUUUUUGUAUUUUUGUUUUUAGUAGAGACAGGGUUUCGCCAUGUUGCCUAGUCUGGUCUUAAACUCCUGAACUCAAGCAAUUGGCCUGCCUUGGCCUUUCAAAGUGCUGGGAUUACAGGUGUGAGCCACUGUGCUCGACCUAGGACUACUGAUUUAAACAAAGAGAAAUUUACUUCUUUACCAUGGGCAUCCAGGUCUCUGUAUUUUCUAGUGCAUAAAUUGACUUUUUUUUUUUUUUUUAAUUGAGACAGAGUCUCACUGUGUUGUCCAGGCUGGUCUUGAACUCCUGGGCUCAAGUAAUUCUCCCACCUCUGCCUCCCAGUGUGCUGGGAUUACAGGUGUGAGCCUCCACACCCAGCCACAUAAAUGGCUUUUUUUUUUUCUUUUUUUUGAGACGGAGUUUCACUUUUGUUGCCUAGGCUGGGGUGCAAUGGUGCGAUCUCGGCUCACUGUAACCUCUGCCUCCUAGGCUCAAGCGAUUCUCUCACCACAGCCUCCUGAGUAGCUGGGAUUACAGGCACCCGCCAUCAUGCCUGGCUAAUUUUUUUGUAUUUUUAUAGAGAUGGGGUUUCACCAUGUUGGCCAGGCUGUUCUUGAACUCCUGACCUCAGGUGAUCUGCCCGCCUCGGCCUCUCAAAGUGCUGGGAUUACAGGCAUGAGCCACCACGCCUGGCCUAUAAAUGGACUUUCUAAGAGGAGGAAAAAGCACAGUGGUGCUUCCCAAACUAAUCUGUAAUAGAACCCUCUUAAGAACACCAGGUACCUGUUCCGGAACAGAUGCUGUGAACCCCCUAAUGCCCUAUUUUCAAGUAUACUCCUGUGAAGUCUUUUUUUUGGUUGAACUUUAUUUAGCCAAUUGUUGAAAUUGGUCCUUUGCUCCAUCCUCUCAGUGGGUUUGUAUCAUGAUUCCCCAAUCCAGUGUUUCAGCUUUCCCCUGAGAUUCUUACUGUCAGCAAAUCAGAUCAGCCUAUGACCUAUGUUCUCAUACAAUGCAUAGAUAAGCGCUUGGAAAAGGACAGGAGCAAGGACAGAGCCAUGUAGUGUGCCUCUGAAAUAGGGAGGACACACACAUUCAUCCCAUAGAAUGGCUUUGAUUGAUUGAUAAGGGCAGCCUAGGCUAGCACUUCCCAGCCUUCCUUGUGGUGAAUCACCUGAGAAUGCAGGAUGUGACUCAGGGAGUUUGGGGUGGGUCUGAGAUUCUGCAUUUCUCACAGACUCCCAGGUAAUGCUGAUGCUGCCAGUUCGGAAACUACAUUUUGAGUAGCAAGGUACUAGAGCACUGCAUUGAAAGGGAUCUGAGGCUACAUCUGCACUCAGUGGCAAAGAGUGUUGUGAUCAAUUAGUAAUGUCUGCCACAGGCAGAGAAAUGAGCUGUGAAUAAUGUGCCAUCUUUGCCCUACAAGUCUAUGUUGAAAAUGAUGCAUUAUUCAAGAAAGAGGAGGGAAAAAGUAAGGUAUUGAUAUCAUAAUAUGUUAUACAAGCAUACAAAUGAAUGUCUUCAUAUUUUUGAUAGCAUAAAUUCCAGGCUGUAUUGUGUUUUUUAAAAGGCAAGUUUGGAGAAUAAACUGUAUACUACACUCCCAUGUGUUUACAAUAAUCAAUAAUCAUAUACUCUGACAAUGCCAAGAUUUGACAAAGGUAGAGAGAAUGCGAACAUUUUUAUACUACUAGUGAGAACAUAAACUAAUAUGGCUUUGGAAAACUAUCUGGUAUUAUCAGUAAAACUGAAGACACACUCUAUAACCCAGGAAUCCUUCUCAUGCACAUGUGCACCAAGACCCAUGGAUAGAAGUACUGCAUGUAAUAGCCCCAAGUUGAAAACUCAAAUGUCCCCCAAAAGGAAAAUUGAUAAAUUACGGUAUAUUCAUAAUGAAAUACUACACAAUAAUGGAAAUGACAAAACUCUAACUAUAUGUGGAUGAAUCUGAGAAACAAAAUGUUAACUGAGAAAGACAAGACACAAAAGACAAUACAGUGGGCCAGGCACAGUGGCUCACACCUGUGAUCCCAGCACUUUGGGAGGUUGAGGCAGGCAGAUCACUUGAGCUCAGGAGUUUGAGACCAGCCUGGCUAACCGGGUGAAAUCCUGCCUCUACUGAAAAUACAAAAACUAGCUGGGCGUCGUGGUCUAUUCCCGUAAUCCCAGCUACUCAGGAGGCUGAGGCAGAAGAAUUGCUUGAACCUGGGAGGUGGAGGUUGCAGUGAGCUGAAAUUGUGCCACUGCACUCCAGCCUGGGUGACAGAGCAAGACUCCAUCUCAAAAAAAAAAAAAAAAAAAAAAGACAAUACACUGUAUAACAUAUGAUUCCAGUCCAUACAUUUCAAAAAUAGAAGAACCUAUAUUAUUUGGGGAUGUGUACACAGGUGCUAAAACUAUUCUUUUUUAAAAGGUAAGGUAACAGGGCUGGGUGCAGUGUUUCAUGCCUGUAAUCCCAGCAUUGUGGGAGGCCAAGGCGGGAGGAUUGUUUGAGGCCAGAAGUUCAAGACUAGCCUGAACAAUAUAGCAAGAAGUCAUCACUACAGAAGAUUAAAAACAUUAGCUGGCUGGGAGCAGUAGCUCAUGCCUGUAAUCCCAGCACUUUGGGAGGCCAAGGCGGGUGGAUUACCUCAGGUCAGGAGUUUGAGACCAGUCUGGCCAACAUGGUGAAACCCCAUCUUUACUAAAAAUACAAAAAUUAGCCAGGCAUGGUAGUGGUUGCCUGGCUACUCAGGAGGCUGACGCAGGAGAACUGCUUGAAACUAGGAGGCGGAGGUUGCAGCGAGCCGAGGUUGCACCACUGUACUCCAUCCAGCCUGGGCGACAGAGCGAGACUCUGUCUCAAAAAAAAAAAAAAAAAAAAAAAAAAAAAAUUAGCUGGAAGUGGUGCUAUGGUCCCAGCUACUCUGGAGGCUGAGUGGGAGGAUCCCUGAGUGGGGGUUGAGGCUGCAGUGAGCCAUGAUCAAGCCACUGCACUCCAGCCUGGGCAACACUGAGACACUCUCUCAAAAACAAAAAUAAAAUAAAGGCAAGGAUAAAAUAAAGGCAAGGAUAUGGCUAUCACUAAAGUCAGAAUCAUGAGCAUGUUUAGGAAUAAGCUGGCUAUGUUCAGGGAGGCACAGACAGGGGCUUUGGGGAGGGAUCUUCUCACUUCUAUUCCUUCAACUGGGUAUUAAUGAGUUAUUUUUUAAACCUUACAUACAAGUUUUUUUUGCAUUUUUCUAGGUACUAUAUACAACAUGUGCUAUAUACAACAGACUCAUGUAUAUAAAUGUGUAUUUGUUGUUGAGAAUUUUUUUUGGAAGGAGACACAGGAAAUUGGUCCUCUGCGUCUCCUUCCUCAUCUUCCUGAAGACCCUCCUAGUCCAGCCCUGGAGAGAGG